GACGAACGCUAGCGGCAGGCUUAAUACAUGCAAGUCGAGGGGUAGCAAGAUUGUAGCAAUACAAUUGUUGACGACCGGCAAACGGGUGCGGAACACGCACACAACCUUCCUACAAGUGGGGAAUAGCCCAGAGAAAUUUGGAUUAAUACCCCGUAACAUAGCGAUGUGGCAUCACAUUGCUAUUAUAGCUUCGGCGCUUGUUGAUGGGUGUGCGGCUGAUUAGAUAGUUGGCGGGGUAACGGCCCACCAAGUCUACGAUCAGUAGCUGAUGUGAGAGCAUGAUCAGCCACACGGGGACUGAGACACGGGCCCGACUCCUACGGGAGGCAGCAGUAAGGAAUAUUGGACAAUGGACGCAAGUCUGAUCCAGCCAUGCCGCGUGAAGGAUUAAGGUCCUCUGGAUUGUAAACUUCUUUUAUAAGGGACGAAAAAAGGUCUUUCUAGAUCGUCUGACGGUACCUUAUGAAUAAGCACCGGCUAACUCCGUGCCAGCAGCCGCAGUAAAAC
rnacentral:rRNA from 1 species